rnacentral:lncRNA from 1 species
GUGAGGUGUGGAGUGGACUGGAUAGUGAGGGUCUACUGCUAGUACUACCGACCCGUUUAAAGGUUUUUUUUUCUCUUAUUUUCUUUGUUUUACAGAGAUAUUUUUUACUUUUCUUUCUGGGUCGGAUUGGAUAGGGUUGUUUCAGCGUGGCGGGCCCAGUGCCAUACGUAAGCACGAUAGGACUUUUGAGCAGGGUGUUUCGAUUUUCCUGCUACAGUUUCUAAAACAUUUGCCUAACCACCAACAAUUGUUGGCUUAUCCUUAUGGUACAUCCCAUGUUGUACUUCCCCUUUUUUUUUUCAGGAAGAACACAUGUUGUACUAUGAACGCUCCGAAUAAAAGUAAGC